UUAAUGGAGAGUUUGAUCCUGGCUCAGGACGAACGCUGGCGGCGUGCUUAACACAUGCAAGUCGAGCGGAAAGGCCCCUUC
rnacentral:rRNA from 1 species